rnacentral:rRNA from 1 species
CCUACGGGAGGCUGCAGUGAGGAAUAUUGGUCAAUGGACGAGAGUCUGAACCAGCCAAGUAGCGUGAAGGAUGACUGCCCUAUGGGUUGUAAACUUCUUUUAUAUGGGAAUAAAAUGUUCCACGUGUGGGAUUUUGUAUGUACCAUAUGAAUAAGGAUCGGCUAACUCCGUGCCAGCAGCCGCGGUAAUACGGAGGAUCCGAGCGUUAUCCGGAUUUAUUGGGUUUAAAGGGAGCGGAGGGCGAUUGUUAAGUCAGUUGUGAAAGUUUGGGGCUCAACCGUAAAAUUGCAGUUGAAACUGGCAGUCUUGAGUACAGUAGAGGUGGGCGGAAUUCGUGGUGUAGCGGUGAAAUGCUUAGAUAUCACGAAGAACUCCGAUUGCGAAGGCAGUUCACUGGACUGCAACUGACACUGAGGCUCGAAAGUGUGGGUAUCAAACAGGAUUAGAUACCCUAGUAGUC